rnacentral:lncRNA from 1 species
AGACAACUAUGAUGCCUCAGGUCAAAGGACUACUUUGCAUUAUCCCAACCAUGAGUUCUCAUGUGACAUGAGUAAGAGAACUCUUCGUUGAUCGUGUUCAGUGAACUCAUUUCUUAUUGAGCACCUAUGUACUUGUCUUGGUGUCAGUCACACCAAUGACUCGAGACUAGUCACUCUCCCUGAGAGAAGACACAGCACAUACUGAUCUUAACGGACUGUCAAUGCCUAAUUGGCAAUCCUAUGAUCAGGAACGUUUA